ACGGAGGGGACUAGCGUUGUUCGGAAUUACUGGGCGUAAAGCGCACGUAGGCGGAUAUUUAAGUCAGGGGUGAAAUCCUGGGGCUCAACCCCAGAACUGCCCUUGAUACUGGGUAUCUUGAGUUCGAGAGAGGUGAGUGGAAUUCCGAGUGUAGAGGUGAAAUUCGUAGAUAUUCGGAGGAACACCAGUGGCGAAGGCGGCUCACUGGCUCGAUACUGACGCUGAGGUGCGAAAGCGUGGGGAGCAAACAGG
rnacentral:rRNA from 1 species